UACGUAGGGGUGCGAGCGUUGUCCGGAAUUAUUGGGCGUAAAGAGCUCGUAGGCGGUCUGUCGCGUCUGCUGUGAAAACCCGAGGCUCAACCUCGGGCCUGCAGUGGGUACGGGCAGACUAGAGUGCGGUAGGGGAGAAUGGAACUCCUGGUGUAGCGGUGGAAUGCGCAGAUAUCAGGAAGAACACCGAUGGCGAAGGCAGUUCUCUGGGCCGUAACUGACGCUGGAGGGAGCGAAAGCGUGGGGAGCGAACAGG
rnacentral:rRNA from 1 species